rnacentral:lncRNA from 1 species
CAACUCAAUGUUCCUACGAUCAGAAAUAUUUAAGAUUAGGAUUUUAGGUCUCUCCAGCAUGACCCAUUCACGUCUCCUAAAAUUAUUACCCUAAUCUUUGAAGUUCAUCAUAAUCUUAGAUAUAAUAAAAUACAACUAAUAUGAUGAAUCAAUGCCUCAUUUCAUUAUCAAAUAAUAAAUAUCAUUACAUGAUUUGGAAAGUUAUAAAGAAAAGUUCCAUCGCAACACUUGC